rnacentral:rRNA from 1 species
AAAAGAAAUCAACCGAGAUUCCCCCAGUAGCGGCGAGCGAACGGGGAGGAGCCCAGAGCCUGAAUCAGUGUGUGUGUUAGUGGAAGCGUCUGGAAAGGCGCGCGAUACAGGGUGACAGCCCCGUACACAAAAAUACACAUAUUGUGAGCUCGAUGAGUAGGGCGGGACACGUGGUAUCCUGUCUGAAUAUGGGGGGACCAUCCUCCAAGGCUAAAUACUCCUGACUGACCGAUAGUGAACCAGUACCGUGAGGGAAAGGCGAAAAGAACCCCGGCGAGGGGAGUGAAAAAGAACCUGAAACCGUGUACGUACAAGCAGUGGGAGCACGCUUAGGCGUGUGACUGCGUACCUUUUGUAUAAUGGGUCAGCGACUUAUAUUCUGUAGCAAGGUUAACCGAAUAGGGGAGCCGAAGGGAAACCGAGUCUUAACUGGGCGUUAAGUUGCAGGGUAUAGACCCGAAACCCGGUGAUCUAGCCAUGGGCAGGUUGAAGGUUGGGUAACACUAACUGGAGGACCGAACCGACUAAUGUUGAAAAAUUAGCGGAUGACUUGUGGCUGGGGGUGAAAGGCCAAUCAAACCGGGAGAUAGCUGGUUCUCCCCGAAAGCUAUUUAGGUAGCGCCUCGUGAAUUCAUCUCCGGGGGUAGAGCACUGUUUCGGCA